AACGAACGCUGGCGGCAGGCUUAACACAUGCAAGUCGAGCGCCCCGCAAGGGGAGCGGCAGACGGGUGAGUAACGCGUGGGAAUCUACCCAUCUCUACGGAAUAACGCAUGGAAACGUGUGCUAAUACCGUAUACGCCCUUCGGGAGAAAGAUUUAUCGGAGAUGGAUGAGCCCGCGUUGGAUUAGCUAGUUGGUGGGGUAAAGGCCUACCAAGGCGACGAGCCAUAGCUGGUCUGAGAUGUGGAUCAGCCACACUGGGACUGAGACACGGCCCAGACUCCUACGGGAGGCAGCAGUGGGGAAUAUUGGACAAUGGGCGCAAGCCUGAUCCAGCCAUGCCGCGUGAGUGAUGAAGGCCCUAGGGUUGUAAAGCUCUUUCACCGGUGAAGAUAAUGACGGUAACCGGAGAAGAAGCCCCGGCUAACUUCGUGCCAGCCGCCGCGGUAACAC
rnacentral:rRNA from 1 species